rnacentral:rRNA from 1 species
CACGGGGGGAGCAAGCGUUGUUCGGAAUCACUGGGCGUAAAGGGCGUGCAGGCGGUCAGGUAAGUGGGAUGUGAAAUGCCCCGGCUCACCCGGGGACCGGCAUCUCAUACUGCUUGGCUUGAGUACGGGAGAGGAUGUGGGAAUUCCAGGUGUAGCGGUGAAAUGCGUAGAUAUCUGGAGGAACACCGGUGGCGAAGGCGGCAUCCUGGACCGGUAUUGACGCUGAGGCGCGAAAGCCAGGGGAGCAAACGGG